rnacentral:lncRNA from 1 species
CAAAUACUAAUCAGUCAGAAAUACAUAACUAACCUAAACAACUAAUACUAAAAAAAUAUAUGUAUGUACUAAUAAUGAACAAAUAAAGAAAAUUAAUAUUAAUACUAAGCAAAAAAACUAAUACUACUAAUACUAAUAGCAAUAAUAGUAACAAUAACUAAAAAAGAAAAAAAAAGCUAAAUUGAAACUAAACACAUGCACAAAUAAAUAAUAGUACCACCCAAC